rnacentral:rRNA from 1 species
CGGGCGGACGGGGUGAGUAAUGUAUGGGGAUCUGCCCGAUAGAGGGGGAUAACUACUGGAAACGGUGGCUAUACCGCAUAAUGUCUACGGACCAAAGCAGGGGCUCUUCGGACCUUGCACUAUCGGAUGAACCCAUAUGGGAUUAGCUAGUAGGUGGGGUAAAGGCUCACCUAGGCGACGAUCCAUAGCCGACCUGAGAGGGUGACCGGCCACAUUGGGACUGAGACACGGCCCAA